rnacentral:rRNA from 1 species
CACGUAAGGGGCGAGCGUUGUUCGGAAUUAUUGGGCGUAAAGGGCACGCAGGCGGUUAUGCAAGUCUGAUGUGAAAUCUCCGGGCUUAACUCGGAAUGCGCGUUGGAAACUGUAUGACUAGAGUAUUAGAGGGGGAGUCGGAAUUCCUAGUGUAGGGGUGAAAUCUGUUGAUAUUAGGAAGAACACCGGUGGCGAAGGCGGACUCCUGGCUGAAUACUGACGCUGAGGUGCGAAAGCAUAGGGAGCAAACAGG